AGUGUGUGUGUGUGUGUGUGUGUCUAUAUAUUAGUAUGGUAGUAGAAAACUACCACAACACUUUGCCUAUUUGCUCUCAGAUAGAUAUUGUUUUAGUGCCCCCGGUGGAAUUUAGGGAUAACACAAUGUGCAAGGUGCAAAUUUUGAAUUACCUGCAAUGUACUGUUAUAAGAAUCAGCGCAAUUAAUAGAGAUCUCAGUUUUUCAGCUUCGUCAACUUGCUCUCCUACAAGAAUACCUGAAAGCUCAAACCCGACUUGCUCUCCUACAAGAAUACCUGAAAGCUCAAACCUGGACAAGAAGGUUUUUGUCCAAAUCAACUCCUAGAGAUACAGAAGACUUUCAGCGGGCGGUUAAAUUAUCUAGCACCCCCUAGUGCUGGUCAAACGAAGCUCUGACAAACGAGGCUGUCCUUGCAACUCUGUAGUACAAAGGUUGAUUGCUGCUAAGCUUUAUUCAUAUGGCACUUUGACGUCAUCUGGUGGUUAAAACGAUGACAAGCACCUAGCCGGUGUUCUCACAACUGUUCUCAUAACAUUCUUCAUGACAGAUUAUUUGUUUGUUUGUUUAUUUAUUUGAUUUUUAAAAAAUGAUUAAACACUACAAAAUUUGUGAAAUAAACAGUAGGCUAUUUUAAAUAAAUGUUAAAAU
ensembl:lncRNA